CACCUACGGGUGGCUGCAGUGAGGAAUAUUGGUCAAUGGGCGAGAGCCUGAACCAGCCAUCCCGCGUGCAGGAAGACGGCCCUAUGGGUUGUAAACUGCUUUUUUAUGGGAAGAAAAAGCUCUACGUGUAGGGCACUGACGGUACCAUAUGAAUAAGCAUCGGCUAACUCCGUGCCAGCAGCCGCGGUAAUACGGAGGAUGCGAGCGUUAUCCGGAUUUAUUAGGUUUAAAGGGUGUGUAGGCGGAAGAUUAAGUCAGUGGUGAAAUCUCACAGCUUAACUGUGAAACUGCCAUUGAUACUGGUUUUCUUGAGUAUAGUUGAAGUAGGCGGAAUGUGUAAUGUAGCGGUGAAAUGCUUAGAUAUUACACAGAACACCGAUUGCGAAGGCAGCUUACUAAGCUAUUACUGACGCUGAUGCACGAAAGCGUGGGGAGCGAACAGGAUUAGAUACCCUGGUAGUCCACGCUGUAAACGAUGAUUACUCGUUGUUGGCGAUAUAUUGUCAGCGACUGAGCGAAAGCAAUAAGUAAUCCACCUGGGGAGUACGGCGGCAACGCUGAAACUCAAAGGAAUUGACGGGGGCCCGCACAAGCGGAGGAACAUGUGGUUUAAUUCGAUGAUACGC
rnacentral:rRNA from 1 species